UGGGGAAUCUUGCGCAAUGGGCGAAAGCCUGACGCAGCGACGCCGCGUGAGGGAGGAAGGCCUUCGGGUUGUAAACCUCUUUCAGGAGGGACGAAGCUACUCGGGUGAAUAGCCCAGAGGGUGACGGUACCUCCAGAAGAAGCCCCGGCUAACUACGUGCCAGCAGCCGCGGUAAUACGUAGGGGGCAAGCGUUGUCCGGAUUUACUGGGCGUAAAGAGCGUGUAGGCGGCCAAGCAGGUCCGUUGUGAAAACUGGAGGCUUAACCUCCAGACGUCGACGGAAACCGCGUGGCUAGAGUCCGGAAGAGGAGAGUGGAAUUCCUGGUGUAGCGGUGAAAUGCGCAGAUAUCAGGAAGAACACCAAUGGCGAAGGCAGCUCUCUGGGACGGUACUGACGCCGAGACGCGAAAGCGUGGGGAGCGAACAGGAUUAGAUACCCUGGUAGUCCACGCCGUAAACGAUGGGUGCUAGGUGUGGGAGGUGUCGACUCCUUCCGUGCCGUAGCUAACGCU
rnacentral:rRNA from 1 species